CAUUUAUUGGGACAUUUUGCAGCAUGUUGUCAGGGUCAUAACUUUGUACUGUUUCUUGGUAUCUGAUCACAGCUGUUAUCCAGGAUGGACAGGCAACCGUUGCCAUGUGAAGGAGAAACCACCUCUCUCAACCUCAUCUCCUAAACCAGAGGACACACAGCUGGAUGCUGUGUAUGUUGGCAUCGCCAUCGGCCUGCUGCUGCUCGUACUUGGAGUUGCUGUCGGCUUCCUGGCAUUACUCAAGAAAAGAUGCUGCUUAAUGUGAGUUCUGGUUGCGAUAAUCACAGCGUUUCUCCUUUUUACCGAUGAUGAUGUUGGUGAUGAUGAGUGCGUUUUCUUUGCUGGUUUCACAGAAAGCCCAACCCGAUGGACUACGGGGUGAUGGAUAACCCAGGCUUUGACUGGAGAGCAGAGCACCCGUCCCUCCACGAAAGGCCAGGCGGGUGUCCCAGACUUAACCCCAGGAGGAGUGAUGGUCGGGGGCUUUCCAUCAGUGUCUACCCCUGGAGGAAGGAGGCGGAGGUAAGGUGUCUCGUCUUAGCCUCUGGGGCUUUACUCUAAUUAUCU
rnacentral:lncRNA from 1 species